rnacentral:rRNA from 1 species
CGGACGGGUGAGUAACGCGUGGAAAACCUGCCGUAUACUGGGGGAUAACACUUAGAAAUAGGUGCUAAUACCGCAUAAGCGCACAGCUUCGCAUGAAGCGGUGUGAAAAACUCUGGUGGUAUACGAUGGAUCCGCGUCUGAUUAGCUAGUUGGUGGGGUAAUGGCCUACCAAGGCAACGAUCAGUAGCCGGCCUGAGAGGGUGAACGGCCACAUUGGGACUGAGACACGGCCCAAACUCCUACGGAAGGCAGCAG